UACGUAGGUGGCAAACGUUAUCCGGAUUUACUGGGUGUAAAGGGCGUGUAGGCGGGAAAGCAAGUCAGAUGUGAAAACCACGGGCUCAACCUGUGGCCUGCAUUUGAAACUGUUUUUCUUGAGUACUGGAGAGGCAGACGGAAUUCCUCGUGUAGCGGUGAAAUGCGUAGAUAUGAGGAGGAACACCAAUGGCGAAGGCGGUCUGCUGGACAGCAACUGACGCUGAGGCGCGAAAGCGUGGGGAGCAAACAGG
rnacentral:rRNA from 1 species